rnacentral:rRNA from 1 species
UACGUAGGGGGCGAGCGUUGUCCGGAUUUAUUGGGCGUAAAGAGCUCGUAGGCGGUUUGGCAAGUCGGGUGUGAAAACUCCGGGCUCAACUCGGAGACGCCACUCGAUACUGCUAUGACUCGAGUCCGGUAGGGGAGUGCGGAAUUCCUGGUGUAGCGGUGAAAUGCGCAGAUAUCAGGAGGAACACCGGUGGCGAAGGCGGUUCUCUGGGCCUUACCUGACGCUGAGGAGCGAAAGCGUGGGGAGCGAACAGG